CCGUUGGGGGGGGGGUGUCAUCUAGCGGCAGCGAGCUUGUACUGCAGCGCCUGGCCCCCAGCCCUCCCACCCAGCGUCCUCCUCCCCGCCACCAACCAAUCCUGGCCGGCUGACUCCCGGGUUCAGCGUCUCCGACGCCUUUUGCUAGCGAGGCGCCCGCAGGGGCGCGCCGCCGAGUGGGGUAAACAAGGUGCCGUGCCCGCGCUCGACUUACUACUUCGUUUGGACGCGCUUCGGCCGCGGAUUCCUUGGGACCACAGUUCCUGUUUUUAUUAGGGGUGCGGGGGAAGGUGUCGAAGGGAGGGCAGUAGGAAUGUCCGGUGGAGCCCCGGCCAUGGGAAUUGAGAGGCUGGGCUCGCUCGGUGACUCUCCCCCGGCUCCUCCGCCCCUCGCGCACCCACGCGGUGCUGCCCAGUGGGGCAUAACCCUUCUAAGUCCCCUCCUCUGACACGCCCCAGCGAUGGGCCUGCGACCCAAGUGCUCGGACCCUCGCUUCGCUCCGUAUUAGAUGAAAACUACUGCUUUUCUGCUGCAGACAUCGCAUUUAUAGUACAUGAGCACAUUCAUAACAAUUCACUAAAGCCCGAUAUGGUGGUGUACACUGUAAUCCCAGCUGCUCUCCAGGCUGAAGCAGGAGAAUAAUACAGUAGCUUCCUACUGUGGACAGCAUGCAUAUAAUUUUGUAUUUUCUAACACCAUUCCAAACAAGAAGCCAAAAUAUUGAUAAAUUUGAGUCCACAAAAGUUUUUUUUUUAAUUAUAUACUACAAUAUCAUAAAGUCAAAAGAUAAACUAUACACAGAAAAUCUUUAGAGCAUGAAUGAAAAAGGAUAAUUUCUAUAAUCUAUGAACUAACAAGAUAAAAUUUUAAAUUCCAGUAGAAAAAUGGACCACAGUCAAUUUAUUGAAGAAGAAAUACAGAUGGCUAAUAUACAAAAUGAGUGGAGCAUAGUGGCAUGCACUUAUAACCCCAGCACUCUGAGAGGCAGGAGGAUAGCAAGUUCAAGCCCAACCUAGGUGAUUUAGCCAAUCCCUGUCUCAAAAAACAAGGGAGGGAGGGGUGAUAUAGCUGUGUCCAAAGGCCCCAAGUUCAAUCUCCAGUCCUGUGAAAAAUUUAAAUUUAAAAGUAUAUAUAUGGAGGGUGGGGGAUUUAGCUCAGUGGUUCCUCCGCCUGCCUCACAAACGGAAGGACCCGAGUUUGAUCCCAGGUACCAAAAAAAAAAAAGAGAGAACCGUGAUAAAAGUAUAUAUAUGGAGUGCUCAACUUCACUUGCCACUAAGAAAUACAAAUUAAACGCCACUUUUCCUACCAUGUUGGAAGAGAUUUGCAUUUUUGACAAUUCUCAGUCUUGAUGAGCUAAGGACUCUCAUCUACUUUUGGAGGGAUUGUAAAUUGUUGAAAGAGAGGCAGGGUGGCAAAUACCUGUAAUCCUAGCACUGGGGAAGAUGCUGUGUUUAAAGUCAACCUAGGCUAGUAGAAAAACCUUGCCUCAAAAAAAGAGAAAAAGAAAGGACUGAAGAAAAUUAUGAAAGUAUCUUAAAAGAGUAAGUUAUAAAAUUGUCCAGGGCCAGGGAUGUAGCUCAGUGGUGCCACACCUGUGUGGCAUGCGCAAGGUCCUGAGUUCAAUUUCCAGUACCAGAAAGAAUGAAU
rnacentral:lncRNA from 1 species